CCCUUAGAUGUUCUGGGCCGCACACGCGCUACACUGAAGGAGGCAGCGUGUACUCCUGGAUCGAAAGAUUUGGGUAACCCGCGAAUCUCCUUCGUGCUAGGGAUUGAGGUUUGCAAUUAUCCUUCAUGAACGAGGAAUUCCCAGUAAGUGCAAGUCAUAAGCUUGCGCUGACUACGUCCCUGCCCUUUGUACAUACCGCCCGUCGCUACUACCGAUUGAAUGAUUUAGUGAGGACUUCGGACUGGGACCGAUGCGGCUUUCGGGCUGCGUCGGUAUUCUGGAAAGAUGUCCAAACUGUAUCAUUUAGAGGAAGUAAAANUCGUANCA
rnacentral:rRNA from 1 species